AGUGAACGCUGGCGGUAGGCCUAACACAUGCAAGUCGAACGGCAGCACAGUAAGAGCUUGCUCUUACGGGUGGCGAGUGGCGGACGGGUGAGGAAUACAUCGGAAUCUACUUUUUCGUGGGGGAUAACGUAGGGAAACUUACGCUAAUACCGCAUACGACCUACGGGUGAAAGCAGGGGAUCUUUGGACCUUGCGCGAUUGAAUGAGCCGAUGUCGGAUUAGCUAGUUGGCGGGGUAAAGGCCCACAAAGGCGACGAUCCGUAGCUGGUCUGAGAGGAUGAUCAGCCACACUGGAACUUAGACACGGUCCAGACUCCUACGGGAGGCAGCAGUGGGCAAUAUUGGACAAUGGGCGCAAGCCUGAUCCAGCCAUACCGCGUGGGUGAAGAAGGCCUUCGGGUUGUAAAGCCCUUUUGUUGGGAAAGAAAAGCAGCAGGUUAAUACCCCGCUGUUCUGACGGUACCCAAAGAAUAAGCACCGGCUAACUUCGUG
rnacentral:rRNA from 1 species